rfam:Alkanindiges sp. H1 contig27, whole genome shotgun sequence.
CUUAAUCUGAAGUGUUCGCCAGUGUGUCCUAAUCCCCUGAGCCGAUAUCAACACGUAUGGAUGCGGUCUGCUGACUUUGUGUGCAUGUCUACCCCGAGUAGAAAGCCUGUAAGUUGGCGUCGCCUCCGCCUUGAACUUUAGGGUUCAAGGGUAACGACACACAGCGGCACUUUGGAGCUUUU